rnacentral:lncRNA from 1 species
GUGCAGGUAAUAUGUCAAUACCAUAAGUAUUGUGGAUAACUGUUAGACCGGCAAUUAUAUUUUAGGCAGCAAGGCUAUAACAGAGACUUUCUCGAAUAUACGAUAGACAAUCAUUUGUGAUGUUGGGGGGCAAACCGCUCCAGCCCACAACAAAUAUUCACCGUUAUUCUCUCACCAACUAAAAAGUUUUUACAGAUAACAUGACAUUGCUUGUGCUCGGGACGAGGAAGCCUGGGACGCCAUGUUUCCUCUUGAGGUCCCUAAUGGCAGUCGUGACUUAUUCGCUGGUUUCUGGUGGAGUGUGUGCUGCCCAACGCUCCCCAGGCCUCGAAGGCACUCAACCGACGCUGUUGGAGUCAGUAGAAGAGUUCUGGCGGGAAGUGGAGGAGGAGCUGCAAGCGAUGUCUGAGCUCCUCAACUGCCGUCAGGAGGACUUCAAGUGCUUCCAUAACGACACUCUGCUGCUACACCAACCGGCC